GGGCUCGGGGCGGAGAGGAGGGGGGGAAAUGGCAAUCUCUGAUUGGCUACGCCCGCUGUGGAUGGGCGAGGCCUGGAGGGGUUCGGCCGGGAGGCUUUGGCGCGGUCUCGCAGCUUUCACUUCCCCUCAGAGCCGCCGGUUCGAGUCCCGUGUCCGCGCCCCCGCCCGGCUGAGAUCUGGGCCCCGCUUCUAACCUUGGACGCAAUUGCAGAGCUCCUGUAAAUCAUCUGACUUUACUGGAUUUGCAUCUUCCCUGCAACUGCAAGUCAGCGAGUGCAGCCAGGCUGAGCAGGCAGCACCACUGCUCCUGAGUCUAACAGCAUGGACCCUUCCUCCAGGCAGGUUUUAAACCCUUUCCCAAAGUACGU
rnacentral:lncRNA from 1 species